UUUUGGAUGAUGUCAUAGGUUUUUGAGAUGCACCUGUGUGUUAUGUGAUUAGUGAUGCAGUGGUUUAGCACUUAGAUCUCGCACAGCAGAAACAGCAGGAAGGUUGAUCCUGCAGGACGCCCAAAGCCUUUAUAUGAGACCUUUAUUUCUUUUCAUCAGUUUAUUCCCAUAGUCCAAAGAUGUGCACGUUAGGUUAAUUGGUAAAAACACAAUUUAGUUCCAACUUUGUGUCAGAUAGAGUAGCUUGCAGCCCCAUCUCCUCCAAACCUAAAUUAUUGUUUACACUCUGGAGCUUUAAAUACAUUUAAAGAGUUAAACUGAACCCGUGUCCUCUGUUAAAAUGGCACAAUGCGUUCGAAGGCUUACAGUGACGACAGAACCCGAAACAAAAGGACAUCACCCCUGCCUUUGUAUUUGGCUUCUUCUUCGUCCGUGUGGGAAACUUUGGAAUCAUCACAAAUUUCUUUAAUUUAUUUUUCUAGCGAUAUGAAUUAUUGUUAUUAUUUUUUUGCCUUAGCUCUGAAAAUGUUUUUUCUUACUUCAUAACUCAAUCCAUUUCUUUUUAAAAAUGAAAAAAAAAAACAUAAAAUAAAAGUGUGUUAAUGUUUGUGUAAAGGGCAAUAUUGCACUUUGGUUUCUGUCCAACCAACACUGUCAUUCUUGUAUGUCAUGUCCAAAUCUCUCUGGACAAUAAUAUUGAGAUGUUUUAGAAACAUUUGGCUGGUUCAGAAUGAAAACCUUAGCUGUCUUAAAGAUUUUGCAUAAAAAAAAGAAAGAAAAAAAAAAAGAAAAGUGACAACAUUGUGUUUGUGUGUCUGUAUAUAUUAUUGUAUCUUGACAAGGUUUCUAAAACAGCUUGUUGCUAAAUGUUUUCAAGUGCUGCUGCCUCUAAAUAUUCAAAUAUUUUGUAUAGUGAAAAUGAGCAUGAAGUACUUUUUCCUAGCCGUUUUAAUCUGUAGACUAGGAUUUACAGGACAUUUUACCAACUUGCAACUAUAAGUAAAAUAUUUCAGGCUUCUUUUUGUCACCUCUCGGUUCAUUUUAAUCAGCGAUUCUAGAUGUGAAAUAGAAACAAACAAAACAAAAAAAACUGUAGAGAAAAAGCAGCUGGGUAAAGUGCAGUGUGUCUGAUGUGUGAUUGGAUUUAUCAAAACUGUUGAGGCUUUUCUGUCACAAAAUGUGUUUACAUGUACUGAAAUGAUCAUUGUCUUGUAAAGAAAUGAUCCAUGUUUUGAAUCGGCAUUUAUGCAAAAGAAAUAUUUUCAGACUAAAUUGUGUGUGUGACUCAUGUCGUCUUUGCACAUCCACGAUCACAAGCGCACACGUGCCAGUAAAAUGAACCGACUCUUUGAGAGAAUAAUCAUCUGGUGGAAUCACAGUCGCUCUUAAAUAUGUAUAAGUCUCUGUUCGAAUGUCAGGAUUUUGCGACGUGAAAUAGGAGGCUGAUCAGUAAUUUUAAAACGUUUUAAUGUGGCAUUCACUCAAAUUCAGUGGGAAAACAAAAGCAGCAAAUAUCCACACCUACUCAGUUUUAAACACCUGCUGAUUCAAAAUCAGCUUUCAGCUUCCUGGUGUCCACAAAUACCAUCAUCUAUAGUGAAUUUGAUGAACGUGAAAUAAUAUUUCACUGUCCCAGAAGGAUUUUCCUGACAUUUGCUUCCAUUGGCUACAGUCGUACAUCACAGAGAGGCGACAAAUGACCAAAGUUAAGUUACUUUGCAGAAUUAUCAAUGGGCUAGAGAAAAGAAAUUUAGAAACAGAGAUCUUAUGACAAGACCUGAUCCCGUCACCUGACUGAUUUGGAGAACCUUUACAAAACGGAGUUUGGCAAAUAUUGUAAACUAUGUGUGGGACACCAAAAAUACUGAAAUUUAAUCAGAAGUACUUUAACAAGAUAUUAAAGAUAUGCAUAUUUAUGGAACCAGGUUAUUCAUGUACAGAUGUGUUUUCAGUUGGAUUGUGGAUAAAUGUCACGUCACACGUAAGAUACUUUUGAAAUGAUUCAUCACCGCCUCAUUGUUUUGCAUCACUAAAUUCUGGUAUUUUAGCAGGACUUUACAUGCUGUACCGAUAUACUGUGUGGAUCUAUUGUGUAGUAAAAGGAAAAAAAAAAACAAACAAACAUAAAAAUAAAUGUCUGCAUGUGUUUGAUUUAAAAUGACUAGAUGUAAUACAAAUAGCAUUUUUUGUUGCUCAACAAAUAUUACAUAGUGUUAUUGUUAGUUUAUAUAUAAACAGUAGAUUGGGAUUUAAUUUCUCCCCUUUUAGGUACAAGAAAAAAAUAAUCUGUUUAUAAAAAAUUAUUUUGCAGUGAUUUUCUGUCCAGUUGUGACAUCCAUUAGAUACGACAUCCAUUUUUUCUAUCAUUAUCUUUUAUCAAUAUUAAAGAUUCAAACCUGUAAUGAUAGCAAGUCGGAACAGUUUUCUCUCAUUCUCCAUUUUGAUGAUAAACGAAGUGUUUGCUUUAUUUAACCACUAGAGGGCAGUAGAACUACUUUUAGAAAGCAAUAUAUGAAGCGUCACAACUUAGAUUUAGUGCGUUUUAUUUUUCCUUUUUUAAUAAAUAGCUAAUGUUAGCAUAUCUUUGAGUUGAUAAAAAUACAGUUUUGCGGUUCCAGCAGAAGGUCUGUCUUUUCUUCUUAGAGAAGUGUUACUGAAAGUUUGAAAUCACUUUUAAACUUGGAAAUGAAAAACUGUGAUACUGGUGUUAUUUUUUUUUAAAAAGAGAAAUUGGGUCACUUUCUAUCAGUUAAAGAAAUAGUUCCAAUUUUUUUGAAGUGUGGUUUUGUUAAUCUGCUUUAGUUUAAUUUUGUCGUGUAUUUUUUUUUAAAUUCUGUUUGUUGAAGACGUUCUGUGAUUUUCAUCUGGAAAGGUGCUACAUAAAUAAAGUUUUACUUACUUAAG